GAACACCAGCCCCAUCUUUUCACCAUGGAGCUUCCAGAGCUGACUUUGAAGUAUAAAGAGAAAGACCGGAUGUUGGGCCACAGUAGAGGGCUUCCACCAAAGGAGGGGUCUGGGGGCAAAGCAGGCAAAGAGGCAAGCUCCAGGCAGGGGCUGCCAGCAAGCAGGCUUCUCUCGAUGGGUACAACAGUGCUGUAAAGCUGACAAACAGAGUUUGGCUUCACUUGAAGGUGUGAAAAGAACAGCCUGACUCUGAGAGGCAAGUCCGCCAAGCCCAGGACCCUAGGGCACCUGGUUCUCACCAUUGCCUGCAAUGCCGCAGCCACUUCCCAAGUCAGGAGGGCAGCUGAAGUCCUGCACUGGGGACAGUUGGGUCAGCUGUGUCUGUUAGACAUCCCCCGAUGACACAGAAUGCCUCUCUCCUCUGAGAGCAGGACAGUGUGUUUAGACAGUCCCUGGUAAAUGUGAGCAGCCAUGAGAAAGGCAGCCUUAAGUGGCUCAAAUUAACCUCUUCUAUGGAUACAGAGUUGAGCUCCAUCAUUCACUCCCCACGAGAGAAAGAUUGCUGUGGCCUUAAGCAGUGGAAGCAGAACUGUUAUUAUUAUUUUUAAGUUGAUGCAAAAAAGGACUUCUUUCUCCACUUUGAAUAUGUUGUCAUCUUGGGUGAGGCAAGAGGACCAUGUAAGGUGGUGACAAGCACUGUUGGCUUUUUUGGGAGAGCAUUGGCUGACUCCAUCCACUACUCUGGGGUGACAAGACGGGAAAAACCACGGUUUACCAGGCAGGUGUUGGGAUUAAGAUACACUUUCAUUUUCAAAGCACUUUGCAGUCAUUAACUAAGUGCUCACCCCUAAUUCUCUUCUAGGUUGAGCUUGGCCAUGGUCUCCCCAUGCUGUCUCCCUUGCCUCUUCUCUGAGUCUCAAGGAACAUGCUGUCACUGGCAGAUAUAAGAACAUCUUGUGCUUUAUAUAUAUUUUUAAACCUUACUGGGUUGCUUGUCUAACUCACCCCUCCAGUAGCUUAGUGAGAUUAAUGCCUCUUUCUAAACUGUGAUAACCAAGAGAUACUUUCCAGCAAAUGCGAAUGGGGCUUUAAAGUGCUGCGAGGCAGGAUGACAAGAUCUUGGGUGAGUUUCAGCUGGUGGGCCAGGAGAGAGUGAAAACAAAGCCACUGGAUAGUGAGAGGAUAGAGGGUGCUCCACAGACGCGAACUGCAUCUUUAUGUUUACAUAGAAGGGAGAGUGAAGGAGCAAAUGUGGGCAACAGCUGUCAGUGACACAUCAUUACCCCAACAGCCAGAAACAAGAUAAGCGCCUUGCAGGGGCCCUUAACUGACUGCUGGGUUCGAUGGUUCAAAGAGAAAAAGCACGUGAUAACUUUGAAGGAGGCUGCCUGGCUGAGCUGAUCGGAUCACCUAGAGACUGGAAAUGCUUUCUGGGAGAAUCUCCCGAGAACACCCUCUGAUCAGCACUCUGCAUGCAAUUUCCAUCUCAGACUCUGUUUCUAGGAAGACUUUCAGGCAGCUGACACUGGACGUGGUUGUGAGUUGCAGGCCCUAAUGAAAAAUUGGAGAGGAAGCAGGUGGCCGGCUGAUGAAAUGAUAACCAGAAGGCCUGUGGGCUUGGGUGGCUGAGGCUGAGGCUACUGAGUGUUGAAGAGAGAGAGGCAGAGGCGCAGGAUGACUCAUCACUGGUUUCAGGCAAACUGUGAAAGCCAGAGCACUUCCUUGGCAGCAUUUAAGAAAACCCCGAUGAUCUGCAGCUGGAAGGCAGGUUGGCUGGAGGACCAGUCUGAACCCUGAGUAGGUUAAGUUCUCAGUCCUUCAGACACAGGGCUCUAAUGGGAAAGAGGUGAGACCCUUACACUUAGGGUGGGAGCCCUGGACAGUUGGGAACCCUGAACACUUACAUGCCCCUGAGUCCCCUGGGCCUGCAGAAAUGGCCUAUUUCUCAUGUCAUGUAGAAGAUUGUAGACUGCUUGAACCUGGGAGGCGGAGCUUGCAGUGAGCCCAGAUUGCACCAUUGCACUCCAGCCUGGGCAACAGAGCGAGACUCGGUCAAAAAAAAAAAAAAAAAAAAGCAAGACUUUCCUUUUCUGAAGAUCAUACAGAGGUCUCAAAUGAGUCUGAAGUCACCUGCCCUAUCUGGACAUUCCAUAGACUACCACUUUUACCCACGACUUCGAUGUGGCAUGCUCAUUGGACCAGAUAAGCAAGCAGUGGCAAGUGGAUUGGAGGUCUUGGUAACCAGUUCAACCAAAAUCCUGGGACAGCUGUUCCCUGAUGCGGCACACUUCCUAGAAGAAGCAAGUGAAUUUAAAGCAGAGUGAACUGUAGAGGAGUUCACGACCAAAUCUCUGAUGCUUUCCCCAGAUCUUUCUUCAGGGCCAACACAUCCAUUGCUCAGCUGUGAUAGACAGCAGUCAGGGGUGGCUCACCUCUCUCACUGGGAAUUGCUCUCAGCAGUAGGGAACUCAUUCAGGGUUAAGGCAUCUCCUUGAGGAGGCCCAUGUUCAAUUACUGGUUGACACAGGAAUAUGAAGGCCUGGCCCUCGUCUCAGCUUGGAAUAAAUCUGAAGGCCCAUCACAGCUUCAGAGAUGCUUGGAGAAGGCUGAGGUCUCCCCUGUAACCUUAUGAGAACCUUGAGUUGUUGAACUCAUUAAUUCUUUGGGACCAUCUUCCUGAUGUUCAAGUUUGUGAAACAGGCUUUCCCUUUAAGAUUUGUUUUCCUCAAAAUACAAGACUAUUGAUGCUUCAGUUUUGAAGUGGAUUCUGCACUCAAGAAAUGUACCAUUGAAGAAUGGGACUGGUAGGAAGGGAAAAAAACUAAAAGGAAACGCAUUUUCGAGUUGCACAUCAUGAUCAGGCACAGAGUCCAGAUACACUUGGAGUAGCAAGCAUCCAUCCUUGUGGAGACGCACAUGAACCAGGACUCUCUGCACCCACCCCUCUCAAGUUUUAUUUUCCGACGGCUGUAAUGUUCCAGGACACCUGCCAUCAUGGAGGGUUAUCCAGCACCUGGAGGAUACCUGCUACCUGGUGAAGGACUUUAGUACGAUGGUCAAGACAAGAACCGUGGAGUCAGAAUGCCUGCAUGCAGAUCUCAUCACCAUGG
rnacentral:lncRNA from 1 species